UACGUAGGGGGCAAGCGUUGUCCGGAAUUAUUGGGCGUAAAGAGCGCGUAGGCGGUCCGAUAAGUCGGCUGUGAAAGUCCAGGGCUCAACCCUGGAAAGCCGGCCGAUACUGUCGGACUAGAGUCCGGAAGAGGCAAGUGGAAUUCCCGGUGUAGCGGUGAAAUGCGCAGAUAUCGGGAAGAACACCAGUGGCGAAGGCGAGUCCCUGGACAACACCUGACACUGAGGCACGAAAGCUGGGGGAGCGAACGGG
rnacentral:rRNA from 1 species